rnacentral:lncRNA from 1 species
GCCAAACAUUGCAUUAAUCUAAAUGUUUAAUGAGUCUAUCAGUCCAGUACUGGGAAAAGCAGUAAUUACCUUUUUUCCAGCAGCAUUUGUGUAUUUUGAUUUCUGUGUCAUCUCAAAUGUUGAUGAGCUUGUGCUAGUUAUACUUCAUAGUAUUUUAUUGGAAGGUAUAUAAUUAUUCAGCUCAUAAAGAGAAAUGACCUCAUAUACAACCAAUUCUUUAUCAUAGUGUAACUAGCACUCUGCUCAUUCAUUUAUCCAUUUAUUCAUUCAUUUAUUUGUUAUGUGCCAGUUAUGACUCAGGAACAGGGUGGACACUUAGAUUAAGGAGAUGAGUAAUUUGCAGCCCCACCCCUGGAAGAAGUCAAAGUGCAGUAAGGAAAACAGACAAGUAAAAACUAAAGUACACCAUGAGCAGGGAUUCCUACAGUACUUUAGAAGCAGGAGAUGACUCUGCUGAGAAAUGAGGAAAGGCUUCAAAAAGGCAGCUUACAGAAUGCUUUCCAUCAUGGGAAAGGAGGUGAAAGGCAAUUCAGGAAAGAAUGACACGUGGAAUGGCAAGAGCCCUGGGUCUUUAAGAAAGGAGUGACAACUCUGACUAUGUUAUAGGGCAUAUGCAGUGAAAGAGUCACAUGAAACCUGUGUGCUAAAUCUGAACUUCAGCUUGUAGUUCCAAAACCCUAGUCCCCC